AAUGUACGAAACGUUCAUAUGCUGCAGACUGGCUGCGCUAUGCUCCUUCAAGGAUUCAGAAAUGCAGCCGAGCGACAUCGGAGCCUGCAUGCCAGAUGUGUCCAUCAGGGAAGAGGAUUCAUCAGAUUAUUAGUGUUCAUAUCGGGGACAAUAAAGUGUUCUUCCAUA
rnacentral:lncRNA from 1 species